GAUGAACGCUAGCUACAGGCUUAACACAUGCAAGUAGCGGGACCGGCACACGGGUGAGUAACGCGUAUCAAACCUACCCUUCACCACGGGAUAACCCGGCGAAAGUCGGACUAAUACCGUAUGGUGAAGGAUGGGGAUGCGUCCGAUUAGCUUGACGAGGGGGUAACGGCCAACAGUGGCUACGAUCGGUAGGGGUUCUGAGAGGAAGGUCCCCCACACUGGAACUGAGACACGGUCCAGACGCCUACGGGAGGCAGCAGUGAGGAAUAUUGGUCAAUGGGCUUAAGCCUGAACCAGCCAAGUAGCGUGCAGGAAGACGGCCUAUGGGUUGUAAACUGCUUUUAUGCGGGGAUAGGUACCGCAUGAAUAAGGACCGGCUAAUUCCGUGCCAGCAGCCGCGGUAAUAC
rnacentral:rRNA from 1 species